UUAAAUGGAAAGUAAAUAGCAUGCUGUUAGCAUUAAAGAAAACCCAAUCGGGGCAGGCGGGAAGCACUCCAGCCUCCUUGCAAGCUUGGGGCGCCUCAUUCUCUCCCGUGCCCCUUCUCCCAGCUGGGUCUGAGCCCCCGCCCCCCUGGCUCCUCCGUUCUGCUUCUCCCAGCUUCUCUGUCCAUCUCCCCCAGUGGCCUCUCUCUACACUCUCUGCCUCAGCUUCCAGGUCUCUGCUGGUCCCUAGGAAGCACUUUGACCUCUGCUUCCCCUUCAAAUGCUGUGGAUCAAGCCUCCCCAACCCCACCAUCCCACCAAAGGGGGCUGCUGACCGAGAGAGCUCACUCAGCCAGAGAGCCAGCUGUUAAACACUAGCCAACACCCCACUGAUGCUGUUCCUUCUACCUGAAACACCUCGCAUUGCCGGUGAGCUCUAAAGACAAGAGGACCUGGGUCUGCAUUUCCCAAAGAACAUACCCCUAACCGUCUCACCUCUGUGCCUUUGUGCAAGCUGCUCCCUCUACCUGGAAACCUCCAUUUGUCAAGCUGCUGCUGUCUUCAAGAUCUUCCUGGUCAGAAUCUCCUGCUGUCCUCUUCUGCCGCCCGCAGCAAUGUGAGCCUUCCCUACUCACUGGAGCAGAGCUACGGCAUCAGAAUGCCCUGGACCAGGGGUUAGAAACACAGAUUUCUGAGUCUGCACUCGAAGAUUUUUUCUUUCUUUCUUUCUUUCUUUUUUUUUGUUUUCCAAUUUUUCUAAUUUUAGAGAUGGGGUCUCACCACAUUGCCCAGGCUGGUCUCAAGCUCCUGGACUCAGGUCAUCCUACCACCUAGGCCUUCUAAAGUGUUAGGAUGAGCCCUGAACCUUGUAACAUGAACAUUUAUUAGUUAUAUCUGGAAAAAAAUAUAAAGUUAUUUUUAUUUGGGUGAUACUGCCUUCAAAAAAAAACAAAAAAAACAGGAGGCCGAGCACAGUGGCUCAUGCCUGUAAUCCCAGUGCUUUGGGAGGCUGAGGCAGGCGGAUCACUUGAGGCCAGGAGUUCAAGACCAGCCUGGCCAACAUAGUGAAACCCCGCUUCUAUUGAAAAUACAAAAAUGGGCCAGGCGCGGUGGCUCAUACCUGUAAUCCCAGCACUUUGGGAGGCCAAGGCGAGUGAAUAACGAGGUCAAGAGAUCAAGACCAUCCUGGUAAACAUGGAGAAACCCUGUCUUUACUAAAAAUACAAAAAUUAGCUGGGCACGGUGGCACGUGCCUGUAGUCCCAGCUACUAGAGAAGCUGAGGCAGCGGAAUCGCUUGAACCCAGGAGGCAGAGGUUGCGGUGAGCUGAGAUUGCACCACUGCACUCCAGCCUGGGUGACAGAGUGAGACUCUGUCUCAAAAAAAAAAAAAAAAAAAUUACCCAAGUGUGGUGGCACAGGCCUGUAAUCCCAAUUACUCGGGAGGCUGAGGCAGAAGAAUUGCUUGAAUCUGGGAGGUGGAGGUUUCAGUGAGCCAAGAUCGCACCACUGCCCUCCAGCCUUCGCAAUAGAGCAAGACUCCAUCUCACAAAAUAAAAAGCCAAAAAAAGCUCUCGACAGUUCUGUUCCCUGCCUGAGGUGUUUGUCUCAGGAUCCCGGCCUGGCUGUGGGCCACAGAUGGCAAAAACCAAGGUCCGUCUAUUACUGGGCAUCCAGGGUUUCAUAAUCUCUAUGACCUACAUGCCUGGAACUCCACACAUUGCGCAUGCCCCAGAAACGCUUGCCCAACGGACCCCAAUCCACCAUUUCUGAAUGCAUUUUUCAUGACUUGCUGAAGGUGUCUUGUCAAUCCAAUUAGAUUGUAAACUCCGGGAGUGCAGGGACAACGCUGACCUUCCUAUUACUCCCCUCACCCCUGCCCAGCUCUGGUCUGGGCACACAGUGACUCUCAAGGGUAGCACAAAGACUUG
rnacentral:lncRNA from 1 species